CAACUGCUCUCGGGAACAGUACAUUCUGAAGAAGAGCGUCGUAUGGCGUGCUGUAGAAACAUGCCUUUCGUAUUCGUCUGUCACUAAGAAGUGAUGAUGGGGACAUCGAAAAGGCUGUUUUAUACAAUUUUGCACAAUUGUCUUUGGAGGCGAUCAUAUUGAUUUUUUAAAGCCUAAAGCAGAACGUGUCCAUCUUUUUCCAUUUCCAAAAAGGGAUCGCGAGAAUCAAGUUCAUUUUCUUUUGGAGCUAUAGUUUUUGAGCUACAUCUGCAAUUCUAUCAUGACAAAAUUUUUUCCAUCCGCUGUUUAUUGCAGUGCAGACAACAGGUUAUUACUAAGUUCUGUGUGAUCAGAUAAAAUCUUGAAAGGAAAGUAAAUCAUAUAGAAAACAUAA